ensembl:snRNA U6 U6 spliceosomal RNA
GUGCUUGCUUUGGCUGCACAUAUACUAAGAUUGGUACAAUACAGAGAAGAUGAGCAUCCUUUCUGCAGCCUGAUGACAUGCAAAUUCAUGAAACAUUUCCUAUUUUU